rnacentral:rRNA from 1 species
UGCCGCGUGUGUGAAGAAGGCCUUAGGGUUGUAAAGCACUUUCAAUGGGGAGAAAAGUCUUACGGUUAAUAACUGUGAGAGUUGAUGUUACCUAUAGAAGAAGCACCGGCUAACUCCGUGCCAGCAGCCGCGGUAAU